UCAGUCCAUACAAUGGGCGUUAUUAGCAGAAAUCAGUCCCAUCGAUAUGGUCCAUCCACCUGCUAGAUUGUUCAGAAGGUUGUUAUCAUCCAUCCAGAUGGAGGAUCACUGACAGGAGCGUGGAAGACUCCAGAAUCCACUCUGGCUGGAAUCCGGUGGAUACAGCAGUGUUACAGGUACAGUACGUGAUAUUAAGGGCAGGCGGUCAACACUGGGGGAAGACAAGAAGCAGACGUACUUCCAAGAGGGAGCUGCAGUGAGGACACAGCCUUGUCACUAAGGAGGCGCUGAAAGGUUUCCCUAAUAGUUCCUGGUGAAUCAAAGCAGAACCAUAAAGGUUGCUGGACUGCAUGAUGGCCUUACCCCUGAGCAGUCAUCCUGUUAAAGGAGGAACCAGUUAGAAGCUGUUUUCAAAGUAGCUGAGCAGAUUUCAUCUCAACAGACAAAGCCAAUGGCAGAAGAUGUUUGGAGAAGAACUUCAGGCCGUGUACUGACAAGAUCAAAGCAGCUCGUGCUCUUUCUGCUUCCAUUUUGAUGGCAAGAAGAAGAAGAAGACUUCAGCGAAGUGGCGUUCAUGGUCUCAGUGGACAGUCAUGGUCACAUACUGCAUGUGGUUUUAAAAGCAACAUGUCUGUUCACCACAACAAUCGAGAUGUGUAAUAUUAGUGCAGCUACAGUUUGUUCUUGAACAUCAGUUCUGUUUUCUACUUUGACCACUUAGACCAAAAAAGUGUUGUUUUCAGAUUCUUUCUUUUAAAUCUGUAAAGCACCUGCUCAUUUUUUAUUACAAUUAGUUUCACAUAAAUAGUAGU